rnacentral:rRNA from 1 species
GAUGAACGCUGGCGGCGUGCCUAAUACAUGCAAGUCGAGCGAACGGACGAGAAGCUUGCUUCUCUGAUGUUAGCGGCGGACGGGUGAGUAACACGUGGAUAACCUACCUAUAAGACUGGGAUGACUUCGGGAAACCGGAGCUAAUACCGGAUAAUAUUUUGAACCGCAUGGUUCAAAAGUGAAAGACGGUCUUGCUGUCACUUAUAGAUGGAUCCGCGCUGCAUUAGCUAGUUGGUAAGGUAACGGCUUACCAAGGCAACGAUGCAUAGCCGACCUGAGAGGGUGAUCGGCCACACUGGAACUGAGACACGGUCCAGACUCCUACGGGAGGCAGCAGUAGGGAAUCUUCCGCAAUGGGCGAAAGCCUGACGGAGCAACGCCGCGUGAGUGAUGAAGGUCUUCGGAUCGUAAAACUCUGUUAUUAGGGAAGAACAUAUGUGUAAGUAACUGUGCACAUCUUGACGGUACCUAAUCAGAAAGCCACGACUAACUACGUG